rnacentral:rRNA from 1 species
GGUUAAGCGACUAAGCGUACACGGUGGAUGCCCUGGCAGUCAGAGGCGAUGAAGGACGUGCUAAUCUGCGAUAAGCGUCGGUAAGGUGAUAUGAACCGUUAUAACCGGCGAUUUCCGAAUGGGGAAACCCAGUGUGAUUCGUCACACUAUCAUUAACUGAAUCCAUAGGUUAAUGAGGCGAACCGGGGGAACUGAAACAUCUAAGUACCCCGAGGAAAAGAAAUCAACCGAGAUUCCCCCAGUAGCGGCGAGCGAACGGGGAGCAGCCCAGAGCCUGAAUCAGUGUGUGUGUUAGUGGAAGCGUCUGGAAAGGCGCGCGAUACAGGGUGACAGCCCCGUACACAAAAAUGCACAUACUGUGAGCUCGAUGAGUAGGGCGGGACACGUGGUAUCCUGUCUGAAUAUGGGGGGACCAUCCUCCAAGGCUAAAUACUCCUGACUGACCGAUAGUGAACCAGUACCGUGAGGGAAAGGCGAAAAGAACCCCGGCGAGGGGAGUGAAAAAGAACCUGAAACCGUGUACGUACAAGCAGUGGGAGCCUCUUAAUGGGGUGACUGCGUACCUUUUGUAUAAUGGGUCAGCGACUUAUAUUCUGUAGCAAGGUUAACCGAAUAGGGGAGCCGAAGGGAAACCGAGUCUUAACUGGGCGUUAAGUUGCAGGGUAUAGACCCGAAACCCGGUGAUCUAGCCAUGGGCAGGUUGAAGGUUGGGUAACACUAACUGGAGGACCGAACCGACUAAUGUUGAAAAAUUAGCGGAUGACUUGUGGCUGGGGGUGAAAGGCCAAUCAAACCGGGAGAUAGCUGGUUCUCCCCGAAAGCUAUUUAGGUAGCGCCUCGUGAAUUCAUCUCCGGGGGUAGAGCACUGUUUCGGCAAGGGGGUCAUCCCGACUUACCAACCCGAUGCAAACUGCGAAUACCGGAGAAUGUUAUCACGGGAGACACACGGCGGGUGCUAACGUCCGUCGUGAAGAGGGAAACAACCCAGACCGCCAGCUAAGGUCCCAAAGUCAUGGUUAAGUGGGAAACGAUGUGGGAAGGCCCAGACAGCCAGGAUGUUGGCUUAGAAGCAGCCAUCAUUUAAAGAAAGCGUAAUAGCUCACUGGUCGAGUCGGCCUGCGCGGAAGAUGUAACGGGGCUAAACCAUGCACCGAAGCUGCGGCAGCGACGCUUAUGCGUUGUUGGGUAGGGGAGCGUUCUGUAAGCCUGUGAAGGUGUACUGUGAGGUAUGCUGGAGGUAUCAGAAGUGCGAAUGCUGACAUAAGUAACGAUAAAGCGGGUGAAAAGCCCGCUCGCCGGAAGACCAAGGGUUCCUGUCCAACGUUAAUCGGGGCAGGGUGAGUCGACCCCUAAGGCGAGGCCGAAAGGCGUAGUCGAUGGGAAACAGGUUAAUAUUCCUGUACUUGGUGUUACUGCGAAGGGGGGACGGAGAAGGCUAUGUUGGCCGGGCGACGGUUGUCCCGGUUUAAGCGUGUAGGCUGGUUUUCCAGGCAAAUCCGGAAAACUAAGGCUGAGGCGUGAUGACGAGGCACUACGGUGCUGAAGCAACAAAUGCCCUGCUUCCAGGAAAAGCCUCUAAGCAUCAGGUAACAUCAAAUCGUACCCCAAACCGACACAGGUGGUCAGGUAGAGAAUACCAAGGCGCUUGAGAGAACUCGGGUGAAGGAACUAGGCAAAAUGGUGCCGUAACUUCGGGAGAAGGCACGCUGAUAUGUAGGUGAAGUCCCUCGCGGAUGGAGCUGAAAUCAGUCGAAGAUACCAGCUGGCUGCAACUGUUUAUUAAAAACACAGCACUGUGCAAACACGAAAGUGGACGUAUACGGUGUGACGCCUGCCCGGUGCCGGAAGGUUAAUUGAUGGGGUUAGCGGUAACGCGAAGCUCUUGAUCGAAGCCCCGGUAAACGGCGGCCGUAACUAUAACGGUCCUAAGGUAGCGAAAUUCCUUGUCGGGUAAGUUCCGACCUGCACGAAUGGCGUAAUGAUGGCCAGGCUGUCUCCACCCGAGACUCAGUGAAAUUGAACUCGCUGUGAAGAUGCAGUGUACCCGCGGCAAGACGGAAAGACCCCGUGAACCUUUACUAUAGCUUGACACUGAACAUUGAGCCUUGAUGUGUAGGAUAGGUGGGAGGCUUUGAAGUGUGGACGCCAGUCUGCAUGGAGCCGGCCUUGAAAUACCACCCUUUAAUGUUUGAUGUUCUAACGUUGGCCCCUGAUCGGGGUUGCGGACAGUGUCUGGUGGGUAGUUUGACUGGGGCGGUCUCCUCCUAAAGAGUAACGGAGGAGCACGAAGGUUGGCUAAUCCUGGUCGGACAUCAGGAGGUUAGUGCAAUGGCAUAAGCCAGCUUGACUGCGAGCGUGACGGCGCGAGCAGGUGCGAAAGCAGGUCAUAGUGAUCCGGUGGUUCUGAAUGGAAGGGCCAUCGCUCAACGGAUAAAAGGUACUCCGGGGAUAACAGGCUGAUACCGCCCAAGAGUUCAUAUCGACGGCGGUGUUUGGCACCUCGAUGUCGGCUCAUCACAUCCUGGGGCUGAAGUAGGUCCCAAGGGUAUGGCUGUUCGCCAUUUAAAGUGGUACGCGAGCUGGGUUUAGAACGUCGUGAGACAGUUCGGUCCCUAUCUGCCGUGGGCGCUGGAGAACUGAGGGGGGCUGCUCCUAGUACGAGAGGACCGGAGUGGACGCAUCACUGGUGUUCGGGUUGUCAUGCCAAUGGCACUGCCCGGUAGCUAAAUGCGGAAGAGAUAAGUGCUGAAAGCAUCUAAGCACGAAACUUGCCCCGAGAUGAGUUCUCCCUGACUCCUUGAGAGUCCUGAAGGAACGUUGAAGACGACGACGUUGAUAGGCCGGGUGUGUAAGCGCAGCGAUGCGUUGAGCUAACCGGUACUAAUGAACCGUGAGGCUUAACCUU